UUUUUAGUGUAAGUAUGUCCCAUGCAACAUUUGGGAAAUACUUAAAAUAAAA
rnacentral:pre_miRNA from 1 species